UCUCCGUUGGUGAACCAGCGGAGGGAUCAUUACUGAGUGUAAAAACUCCCAAACCCAUUGCAAACCUACCAAAGUUGCUUCGGCGGGCUAAAUCGCCCCGGGCGCCCCAGCGCGGCCCGGGCCAAGGCGACCGCCGGAGGCCCCAAACCCUGAAUUCACAGUGGACUUCUGAGUGGCAUAAGCAAAUAAAUCAAAACUUUCAGCAACGGAUCUCUUGGUUCUG
rnacentral:misc_RNA from 1 species